ACGGAAGGCAGCAGUGGGGAAUAUUGGGCAAUGGGGGCAACCCUGACCCAGCAACGCCGCGUGAAGGAAGAAGGCUUUCGGGUUGUAAACUUCUUUUACCAGGGACGAAGACGUGACGGUACCUGGAGAAUAAGCCACGGCUAACUACGUGCCAGCAGCCGCGGUAAUACGUAGGUGGCAAGCGUUAUCCGGAUUUACUGGGUGUAAAGGGCGCGUAGGCGGGGAUGCAAGUCAGGUGUGAAAUCUAUGGGCUUAACCCAUAAACUGCAUUUGAAACUGUAUCUCUUGAGUGUCGGAGAGGUAGACGGAAUUCCUAGUGUAGCGGUGAAAUGCGUAGAUAUUAGGAGGAACACCAGUGGCGAAGGCGGUCUACUGGACGAUAACUGACGCUGAGGCGCGAAAGCGUGGGGAGCAAACAGGAUUAGAUACCCUGGUA
rnacentral:rRNA from 1 species